rnacentral:rRNA from 1 species
AUGUGGGCUCAAAUCCUGCGUAACAAGUAUCUCCAAACCAAAACUUUGGCUCAGGUGUCGGUUAGACCAACUGAUUCACCCUUUUGGAAAGGGCUUAUGAAAGUGAAGCUUUCAUUUUUUCAGAGGUCAAAGCAUUUAGUUGGUAAUGGUGCAAGCACGAGAUUCUGGGAGGAUACUUGGCUUGGAGAGGCUCCCCUAGCAAUCCAGUAUCCGUCUCUGUAUCGUAUAGUUCGAAGGCGCGAUGCUUUGGUUGCAUCGGUCUUCGCCUCGAUACCCCUGGAUAUCCAGUUUAGAAGAUCGUUAGUGGGCAAUCGUUGGGAAGAGUGGCUGCAUCUAGUUAGGAGACUGAUGCAGGUACAACUAUCUCAACAACCUGAUAAAUUACGCUGGAAUCUCACUAGGUCGGGGGGAUUCACGGUUAAAUCAAUGUAUGUUGAUGUUAUUAAUUCCAGCUCGAUUCCUACUUCAAAGCAUGUGUGGGACGUCAGAGUGCCUUUAAAGAUCAAGGUGUUUAUGUGGUUUCUACAUAAACAGGUGAUCUUAACAAAGGAUAAUCUUACUAAGCGUAAUUGGACAGGACCUACUAGGUGUAGUUUCUGUGAUCAGGGUGAAACCAUUAAACAUCUUUUCUUUGACUGCCCACUAGCUAGAAUUCUUUGGACGACUAUUCAAGUCGCUUUCAAUAUUACCCCACCAAGGUCGGUUAACAUGUUGUUUGGGACAUGGCUAACUAGGGUAGAGCCCGGGUUAGCAAAACAUAUUCGCUUGGGGGUUUGCGCUUUUUUGUGGGCGCUUUGGAAUUGCAGAAAUGACUUCGUCUUUAACAGAUCAACAAAUAUCCAUGUUUUGCAGGUUAUCUUCCGAGCAACGGCUCUUAUCCGUUCCUGGUCGCUACUCACUCCGACGGAGGCAGGGAGCUUUUGGUUACUGCUGCUAUCCGAUGGGAGAUGGUAG